ACCUACCUUUCAGUGAGGAAUACCGGCGAGAAAUCGCCGACAAUACCGCAUAGGCUUCUCUCUGGCUUGCAAGAGACAGGGGGAAGCAAAGCUUCUUUCGGGAGGCGCUGGGAGAUGGGCCUGCGGCCGAUUAGCUGGUUGGUGGGGUAAAAGCCUACCAAGGCGACGAUCGGUAGCUGGUCUGAGAGGACGAUCAGCCACACUGGGAUUGAGAACGGCCCAG
rnacentral:rRNA from 1 species